GUGGGGAAUCUUGCGCAAUGGGCGAAAGCCUGACGCAGCCAUGCCGCGUGGAUGAUGAAGGUCUUAGGAUUGUAAAAUCCUUUCACCGGUGAAGAUAAUGACUGUAGCCGGAGAAGAAGCCCCGGCUAACUUCGUGCCAGCAGCCGCGGUAAUACGAAGGGGGCUAGCGUUGCUCGGAUUUACUGGGCGUAAAGGGCGCGUAGGCGGACAUUUAAGUCAGGGGUGAAAUCCCGGGGCUCAACCUCGGAACUGCCUUUGAUACUGGGUGUCUUGAGUAUGAGAGAGGUGUGUGGAACUCCGAGUGUAGAGGUGAAAUUCGUAGAUAUUCGGAAGAACACCAGUGGCGAAGGCGACACACUGGCUCAUUACUGACGCUGAGGCGCGAAAGCGUGGGGAGCAAACAGGAUUAGAAACCCUGUAGUCC
rnacentral:rRNA from 1 species